AAUGCUGCACAGGCCCAAAUAAAGACAACUAUAGACACAUAGCAGAGGUUUCCUGCUUCAAGUAGCUAUUAUAUUAACCUACACUUUAGGCAAAGAGCAUUUUAGGUUUCACACUGAUGAAAACAUAGGAUGAGCAGAAGCAUCAAUAAAAGUUGCACCUUUAAUGAAACAGAUGAAACAGGCCAGCAAAGCUGUGAUCUUCUCCUUUCAAAACCUUGUCACUGCCGUUCAGCAGAAAUCCCACAGGUAUGGGACCAUCCUGCUAGAACAAAAUGCAUGUACUGGAACUCCAGUGCCAUUUUUGCAAAGACUCUGGAUACACUGAAGGCAUUUCUCAGCAUGAUCUGCAAGGGAAAAUAUUGAAGAAGCCAGAAAAAGAGGGAAGCAAAACCACCUCCAAUGCACCAAGUGUUUUUGCAGAAACAGCAGCAUGGCCGAGGUACCUCCAUCCCUUCACUCCGAUGGCAGUCACAUCACAGCUGUCCAUAUGGGGAAAAAAAAGAAUGAAAAGGAAGCAGAUCUCCUGGUUAGAUCCCCCUGGUGAGGCUGCUCUGUGGCUGGGAGAGCCCUGGGGAGAUCCUGUGUCUCCUUUGGAUGAGAAGACAGGAACAGAUGAGCUGGAGGCUGAAUUUUGGAGCCAAACUGAGCAGUGGUGGCUGCAGUGACCCCUCUGAAGGAUACUGAGCUGCAGCAGUACAAUUCCAGCUCUGGGAAGUUUUGUUAAGGAUCCUCAGGUGUCACCUGGUGCUUACUGUCAGAAUCCAAGCCUGCUGCAUUUAUUUCUUUUCCCUGGGAGGACACAAACCCUUGUGCUGCUCCUCAGAUGAGAAGAACGUGGCAGAUCCUUCCUCUCUGCCUGUUUUCAACAGAAAGGCUCGCGUCCCGUUUGUCGUGGUUAAUAGGAUUAGAGCAUCAGCCUUUCUGGAGGAGAUUGAAAUGCAGGGGAACAGUGCUACUGAGGUGUCUUUCUUCUCCUCCUGUGAUGGGCAGAAGGACACACCUCCAAGCAGAGGGGAUUUGUCUGGUGGGAGCAGGCAGAUUAUCUGUAUCUAGUGAAACAAGGUGUGCAUGGCAACCUUUGCCAGGGCUCAGAGCCAGAACCUACACUAUAAAAUAAUUGUGUCACUACCUAACCAAGGCACUCUUCAUGUUUCAUUUAUCUUUUGACUGUAAUUGAAUGGUUGAACAGCAAAAAAAAAAAAAAUGUAGACAAAUUCCAGCUGUAUUGAGAUCUGUUUCUUUCUCUGCUACCAUGGCCCAUCAUUAGAUAGUUUCACUCUCUGUACAGAAGGUCAGAGAGUAUAAAUAUAAAUUGCAUUUUGCAUUACUUCUAGAUGAGUGAAGCUGUCAAAGCAAUAAUAUAAGCUUUCAGUCCCACAUUCUACCACUUCUUUCCCAGUUUUUGGCCAGGAGGUCAUGUGCAAAUUGAACGUGACAGCCCAGACGACAUGUCCAACAGACUUAUAUUGUUAGACAUUUCUGCCAUGGCACUCACCACAAAUUAAACCCACGUCGGACUUGGAGCUCUUCAAGAGCUGCUAACAGUAGCUCAGGCUUCUUGCAAAAAAGUUUAUGUCCACGUCAAGCCUGUGCAAGAAUAACAGCAACUCUUUUGGAGGAUCUUGUCAAAAAAAAUGGAAAACACGAGGGGAAAAAAUUCUGACAGGUAAACCUGAAAGAGCUGAGCACAGUAAUGCAGACUUUAAGUUGUUUGAAAGGUGGGUAAAUCUAUGCUGUAUGUGUGUGCUCUUCACUUCUGUCAAAACUCUCUCCUCCAAUCUAUCAUUAAUAUGUAAUAUUUGGUAUUUAGUGGAUAUUUUUGCUGUCUGCAUUCAAAAGAGGGGGACCAAACUCCUAAUUUUCCACCUUUUUUUAUGCAAGCAAAGUUAACUUUGUGUCUGUUGAUAAAACACUGUGUACAACAGUUAAGAUAUUGUUGAUAACUUAGAAAUAACUGUAUAUUUAUAACAUUGAAAUCGGCAUGGGCAGCUUCCACUAGCAGCUAUUUGAAUCUAAAGUCAAAAUUAAUUUGUGAAAGUAGAUGUUACUGAAUAUUGUCUUUUAUAUUAACUCAGAGCAGAGUUUUCUGCAGAACACCAGAAGGAUUAAAAUUGAGGUUGUUGUCUUUAGCUGGAGUCAAAUCAGGUGUCAAAGUAGCUUUAGAAAGUUCUUUGUGCUGUGUACAAAGAUAAUGCUGAAUGACAGUGAAACAAGAUCGCUCUGGGGACAGAAAACCAGAUUUCCAGCCCUUCACCUUUAGGUGUCUCAAAAUGCAGCACGGGCUCUGAACAACUGAAAAUUCUUAGCAUCUGGCAGUGUCAUGCUAAAGAGCUGGUGGUCUUGGUCCAAAUCUUGGCAGAAAGGAGUUCACAUUAUAAAUUACAUUAUAAAUUACAUUAUCUGGCAAAUCUUUGCAGCAUACUGAGCAGAGGGGCCAAGAGCUCACUUGACACAGAACCUCCUGCUUCCCUUCAUGGCAGAAAUGUUCUCCCUAGAUAAGGGCUGAGCACGGAUCAAGAAAAGUCCCUGCCAUUCUUGCUUUACCAGCUUCCCAUGAAUGAACAAAGAACUUCAUUUUCAAGGACUACCAGGGCUUUCUCUCUCCAUUUUUUAUUAUUUUUUUCAGAAGGACUAAACUUAGAGGGAAGAGUUUGAGCCCCAUCUGGUACAAAUCGGUAGGGGCUUUGCAGGCUUCAGUAGAGCUACACUGAUUUACACCAGAUGAUGCUAUUAGAGGACUGAACUAUCCAACAAUAAUUAUAAAAAAAAAAUGCCUUUGAUUAUGCAUGUGCAACAACUAUUUAUGUUUACAUUGCAGAGAUUUGCAUGUAGCACAGUGGGGAGUAUUUUAUCUCUUGAAAACAUUGCACCAGCAGAAAUAAUCCACUGACAUUCAAAUGAGCAAAGAAAUACCCGUGUUUUACCACAAGAUGGACCAUAAAGGAUGUUCUUCAUGUGUCUUUUUCGAGCAGAUUUGUCAAUAAUCCUCAACUGCGAAGUUUAUUCUAAAGAAAGAAAGAUGGGACAAAAAGAAAAAGGUAAAAGUCAUGUUCUGUUCCAUGUGGUUGCAUUACAGAUUGCUCUGAACUCUGGGUCUCGGUGCAGCCAGGUGAUCCUGCACUUGGGAAAGAGGAUGGAGGAACCAGGUGAGAGAAGGACAUCAAAAAUGCCCCACAAAAGUCAGCACCAUACCUCACUGGCAGCAUUCAAAGCAGAUUUUCAAAGAAUUUCAACCAGUUCAAAUCCAGAGUGAAUUGGACACAAACCUAUCAAAGGCAGAGAUGGAGAUAAUCAUGUGAAAACUGGGAGAUUCUGCUGAAGCACCAGCCUGGAACAGCACAACAGAAAUUACCAUUGGGGUAAUUACACUGACAUUUAAGCUUUCAAAACAGAAAAUGCUUAAAAUAUGCAGUAAUAUGUUGUAUCUUUGACUCACAAGAGGAAAGGGAGAUGAAAGCACAGGUAAUAUUCCUUUGAUGUUUGAACUACAUACUCAGGUCUCCUGCCUUGACUUCUGGGGUUUUUUUAUUUGCUAAUUGUGCUUUGGUAGUGCUUCGAAGGCAUUAAAUUCCUCAAAUUAAGGCACGUUGCCCUACUCCAGAUAUAGCUUUCCUCUUGAGAGCCAGGGAGAAGAGUGUUGCUGGCAUUUUAAGUUCAAAUGCCCAGCAGAGAAUUGGAAGAUCCACAGACAUCAUUUCCAUGACCCUUUUUCACCUUUGCAUCUUCCUGAUGAGGAAAACCAGGAGAUUCUCCCUUCAUACCCAGAAGAAGUAAAUUUUAUCCCACAUGGGAGAUUGCAGAGCACUGAACUCACCUGGAUGGUUUGGCAAAGACUCCAUUCUCUUGUCCUAAAAACACAUUGCCUCAGUUUCCCUGUCAAAUGGAUGUGAUAAUGAUGAUCUGCCUCUUGGGAGCACUGUGAACAGCAAUUUCUGGUUUUAUUAGCUCUUCCAAGAUGAAAUAUGUCACAUAAAUGGUCAGAGUUAUUAAACUGGGCUUAAUUAGCAAGGGCUUGAUAGGAAUUUCUAUCAUAAAAAGGUGUCUUUGAACACAUGAAGGAGUUGGUGGAGUUGAUCCUGGCCCAAGGCUUCCCUUCUGUGUGGCAGAGCAGCACAAGGAUGGCAAAAGGGAAACCAUCCCACCCAUCCCACUGCAUCCCUAAAUGAGAGCCUAAGAGGAGAAUACAAAGUGUAUGCCCAGGAUCAGUGUGAGACAGAAAUCCCAAUUAAUUUCUGAAGUAAAUACGGUGAAAAUGAGCUUCCCAAGAAUCCUGACUGCUCAAAACAAAGUGAGAAUUAAAAAACCAGACCCAAGUUCUAGCAGAGGAAAUGUGACAAGGGGAACACAGGCUUACUUGGGAGCUUUGGAGCACCAGUCAGAUGGGAUAAAUCUACUUUUGUAUCUCUGUGGGUUUAGUUUUCUCUAAAAGCAGAGCUCUAUUUUGAUGGCUGGUUUGAGGGAAAACUAAGCUACUGUCAUUAAAACCCAAACUGUAAUCCUAGCAAAUUAGCCAAACCUCCAGGCACUCUGCUCACCAGAAUUUCCUUACCAGAGGAAUCUGUCACUUUGUCACUACAGAAUGAGGCCAAAUUUUCAAAGAUGUCUCUGCAGUGAGACUCACAGGUCUGGUGCUGAGCCAUCAGGAGAUUUGCAUGCACAGUUUGGGUUUCCAAUAUGACAAUACGAAGUUUAACUCCAAACACAACUGUGUUGCACGAGUUGCAUUAAAAAAAAAAAAAAA